UAGGGAAUCUUCCGCAAUGGACGCAAGUCUGACGGAGCAACGCUGCGUGAGUGAAGAAGGAUUUCGGUUCGUAAAAUUCUGUCGUUAGAGAAGAACAGCGCAUAGAGUAACUGUUAUGCGUGUGACGGUAUCUAACCAGAAAGCCACGGCUAACUACGUGCCAGCAGCCGUGGUAAUACGUAGGUGGCAAGCGUUGUCCGGAUUUAUUGGGCGUAAAGCGAGCGCAGGCGGUCAAUUAAGUCUGAUGUGAAAGCCCCCGGGUCAACCGGGGAGGGUCAUUGGGAACUGGUUGACUUGAGUGCUGAAGGGGAGAGUGGAAUUCCCUGUGUAGCGGUGAAAUGCGUAGAUAUAUGGAGGAACCCCAAUGGCGAAGGCGACUCUCUGGUCUAUAACUGACGCUGAGGCUCGAAAACGUAGGUAGCAGACAGG
rnacentral:rRNA from 1 species